rnacentral:rRNA from 1 species
CCUACGGGAGGCAGCAGUGGGGAAUAUUGCGCAAUGGGCGAAAGCCUGACGCAGCGACGCCGCGUGAGGGAUGAAGGUCUUCGGAUCGUAAACCUCUGUCAGCAGGGAAGAACGGUCAGUGUGCUAAUCAGCAGUGAACUGACGGUACCUGCAAAGGAAGCACCGGCUAAAUCCGUGCCAGCAGCGGCGGUAAUACGGUGGGUGCGAGCGUUAAUCGGAAUUACUGGGCGUAAAGCGCUCGUAGGCGGUAUGUCAAGUCAAGGGUGAAAUCCCCGGGCUCAACGUGGGAACUGCCUUUGAAACUGGCAAGCUAGAGUGUGUGAGAGGAUAGUGGAAUUCCAGGUGUAGGAGUGAAAUGCGUAGAUAUCUGGAGGAACAUCAGUGGCGAAGGCGACUAUCUGGCACAAAACUGACGCUGAGGAACGAAAGCGUGGGUAGCGAACAGGAUUAGAUACCCGGGUAGUC